rnacentral:lncRNA from 1 species
UGCAAUAUAAACAUUCAAAAUAAUUAUAUAUACUUCAAACAUUUUUAUGAAUCGUAAAAGAGUUUACGCCCUUCAUAAAAUGAAUGGAAUAAACUGAAGAUACAACCUAAUCUCGAAGAAACUAUUUGUAUGACAGAGAAAAAUUCAACAAUUUAGUAGAAGUGUGCCAAAGAUGGAUCUAAACAUGGCCGGACACAGUACAACAUUACAAUGCAAUAAUGAAGGCCAAAAAGGAAAAAGAAGAGCACUCUCUGUUGGAAUUGCAAGAUGCCCGGUUGAUGCAACAAUUGCUUGAUUUCGAGAAACAGGAAAAGCAUUACAAAAAAAAACUGCUUGGAUGUAUCUGUACUAGGUACCUGUGUCAAAGUAUUAGUCGCUUUU